rnacentral:tRNA from 2 species
AUCUGUAUAGCUUAAUUGGAUAAAGCGCAUGUCUACGAAACAUGAGAGUAAAGGUUCAAUUCCUUUUACAGAUACCA